rnacentral:rRNA from 1 species
GAUGAACGCUGGCGGCGUGCCUAAUACAUGCAAGUCGAGCGAAUGGAUUAAGAGCUUGCUCUUAUGAAGUUAGCGGCGGACGGGUGAGUAACACGUGGGUAACCUGCCCAUAAGACUGGGAUAACUCCGGGAAACCGGGGCUAAUACCGGAUAACAUUUUGAACCGCAUGGUUCGAAAUUGAAAGGCGGCUUCGGCUGUCACUUAUGGAUGGACCCGCGUCGCAUUAGCUAGUUGGUGAGGUAACGGCUCACCAAGGCAACGAUGCGUAGCCGACCUGAGAGGGUGAUCGGCCACACUGGGACUGGGACACGGCCCAGACUCGUACGGGAGGCAGCAGUAGGGAAUCUUCCGCAAUGGACGAAAGUCUGACGGAGCGACGCCGCGUGAGUGAUGAAGGCUUUCGGGUCGUAAAACUCUGUUGUUAGGGAAGAACAAGUGCUAGUUGAAUAAGCUGACACCUUGACGGUACCUAACCAGAAAGCCACGGCUAACUACGUGCCAGCCGCCGCAGUAA